rnacentral:lncRNA from 1 species
CGUUUUAUACUCAGGAAAAACAAGCAUUUUCUUAUCGUUUUGUUAAUUCGUACUAGUUAAAUUUUACAUAUAAAGAAAGCUUACAAAAAGCAGAUUUUUCUUACUGUAUAAUAUAUUGUCUAUUAUAUGUUGUAAAAUACUAACAUUUCCUCAUAACAAAACGUAAGUCUGAAGAAAUAGCACAAAUGACGUUUAUUUUGACCGCCGACGUUGCCGGUAUUUUUAACACAGCUGGAAACAAUGCAAAACCGGGAUAGGUGGUAGGGUUAUAGGUAGUUCACCUAAGUAUGAAAACGAAAGUAGAGUUUCCAAAUUUUCAUAUUAUAUUGGUUUCCAGAAGUAAAUCGUAUUCAAAGUAUACUUAAUUCCAAAUUAAACUUUAAAAACAAAAGUUUAUUAAUCUUUUCUUGAAGCUAUGAACUUGAAACAAACAUAAUCGUAAAAUUCAAAACAUUUACCUAAACGCACGCUCAUGUCUCGUUCUCUCCAUCGUCUGCCACCUACCCCGAAAAUAUCUCAAAGAUUGUUAACAAGACAUCAAAAUGGAUUUUGAAAACGUUGAGAACGUCACCGGCUGGAGUAUCAGUGCCAUCGACACUUUGCUACUUUGCAACACGCUUCCGGGUAAUUUAUAUUAUUUAUAUGCAUAGUCCGCACAUUUAAACAAUAAUUUUCAGGUCCUUUAUCCAAAAAUUCAUUCUUUACACACUAUUCGCUUUAGAAUACUCUCAUCGGAGUUGUUUUGAAUGAUUUUCAAGUAACAAAUACCGAUUAAUGUUGAGGUUAAUUUCUAGGACGUAAAGUACGAUAAAAAUAGAUUAUGUUCGAUUUUCUAAAAAUCAACAGAUUCGGGUGAGAUGUUCUAAAAAUAAUUAUCUAAAAUCUAAGUGGGAAAAAACAAAUAGAUAACUUACAGUGUUAGAGUUCGACAAGAAAGAAAAAUACGGCAAAUAAAUGAUAAAAAAAUCAAUUAGCAAACAAAAAUAAUAUAAAGUAAAAGUAUGAAAAAAAAUCUACAUUGAAACUCGUGAUAUCCGGAUACGUUGAUGGGGAUCAAAAGAGAAUAGUUCACAAAACAUGCAGAAUAAAGAGCUUAAAACAUUUGUGAAUCAAAAGAAAAGAGGGAAAAGCUAAAACAAAAAAUAAAGAUUAGAGAAUAAUGGGGUGUUGAAAUAUAAAAACUCAAAAGAAUGGAGAAAAACGGACACGAAAUCUAAAGUUAUAUAAUAGAGAGAAAAAAAAACAGCAAACAAAAUAAAAAAUACUAACAAAAUGUAAUGACCCCUCCCGUCCAGCCACCUGUAAUAUACACACUAAUAUCACCCCCCCAAGAAUACAUGGGGAUAGUUCAACACAAUAAACGUGUAUAAAAAUUAUAAUUGCAAAUAGUUACAAUUUUUGCUGGAGAUACAGUUAAAUAAAGAUUUUUUUCAGUUCAAUGUCUGUCAAUAGGCAUGCUAAUAUAUCUGUAACCAGUCAAUGAUGAAAAUAAUGAGAAUAAACUAUGAACAAAAUCAAAUCUUAAGUUACACUCAUCAUAGACAAGCAACUUAAUUCCAAGGGGAAAAACAUUAAAAAAAUCAAUAAAAAAGGAACACAUGGCAGCAGUCCAACAAAAUAAAAUUAUAAAAAUACUAUUUUCAAAAAGUUACACUUUCUGCUGGAGAUUUAUCUUGAAAUGAUAAUGUGUCCGUAAUAUGUCCUUUUCAACUAAAAAUCUUUAAAUGUAUAUGAAUUGCCAAAGCGUUGAAAAUUGUGUUUGAUUUAAAAUCUAGCAACUCUCCCC